rnacentral:rRNA from 1 species
UGCAAGUCGAACGCUGAAGCACCAGCUUGCUGGUGUGGAUGAGUGGCGAACGGGUGAGUAAUACGUGAGUAACCUGCCCUUGACUCUGGGAUAAGCCCGGGAAACUGGGUCUAAUACUGGAUGCUACAUGUCACCGCAUGGUGGUGUGUGGAAAGGGUUUACUGGUCUUGGAUGGGCUCACGGCCUAUCAGCUUGUUGGUGAGGUAAUGGCUCACCAAGGCGACGACGGGUAGCCGGCCUGAGAGGGUGACCGGCCACACUGGGACUGAGACACGGCCCAGACUCCUACGGGAGGCAGCAGUGGGGAAUAUUGCACAAUGGGCGAAAGCCUGAUGCAGCGACGCCGCGUGAGGGAUGACGGCCUUCGGGUUGUAAACCUCUUUCAGCAGGGAAGAAGCCACAAGUGACGGUACCUGCAGAAGAAGCGCCGGCUAACUACGUGCCAGCAGCCGCGGUAAUACGUAGGGCGCAAGCGUUGUCCGGAAUUAUUGGGCGUAAAGAGCUCGUAGGCGGUUUGUCGCGUCUGCUGUGAAAGCCCGGGGCUUAACCCCGGGUGUGCAGUGGGUACGGGCAGACUAGAGUGCAGUAGGGGAGACUGGAAUUCCUGGUGUAGCGGUGGAAUGCGCAGAUAUCAGGAGGAACACCGAUGGCGAAGGCAGGUCUCUGGGCUGUUACUGACGCUGAGGAGCGAAAGCAUGGGGAGCGAACAGGAUUAGAUACCCUGGUAGUCCAUGCCGUAAACGUUGGGCAC